rnacentral:rRNA from 1 species
AAACACGACUCUCGGCAACGGAUAUCUCGGCUCUCGCCACGAUGAAGAAUGUAGCGAAAUGCGAUACUUAGUGUGAAUUGCAGAAUCCCGUGAAUCAUCGAGUCUUUGAACGCAAGUUGCGCCCGAGGCUUCGGCCGAGGGCACGUCUGCUUGGGCGUCGCA